GUGGUGACAGAGAAGUUAUUUCCUGGAAGUGGACACCUUCAUGCCUGUAUCUUCACUCCCUUGCAAAUAGAUAACUACCAUGAGUUUCAUGGUGAAGCUGCCAUAGCAAGUCUAACCAGGGCAGCUUAACCUGCCUUGUUGAAUCGACAGCCCUUUUCUUGGAAGAUCAACUGGUUGCCAUUUUGAAUGGUGUGUUCAGGACACAGUUUCCUGUUUCUUUGCAAAUUAUGAGCAGCUUCCUAAUAUAGUAUAAUUUAUAUUAAUAACCUGGUUUGCUGGCAUGCCAGCUCACUUCUAUCUGCCAGGGGUUUCGUGUUAGGGGCUGUGUGAAUGUAACUUCAAACCCACUGAAUAUUAAUUCAACUAUUGGAUGGGGUUGGGGAAUCAGAGGCCAGGUCUUCCCUUGAUAACUCUUGUCUGAUGAAGGCAUAGGGAGUUUGUACAUGAUUCGAUGAAGAUUUAAGACCUUUAUUAUAUCUCUGAACUUAAACCCUUUAUUUACAAUCAGGAAAUAGAGGUAAUAUUGCACUUUGGGGCUCGUCCCUCAAGGAGAUCGUUUGACAUUUUCGGCUGCAGAAAUGUGUGUAAAUUGAAGAGAUACCCAGUGACCUGGCGGGAGUGAGGUCGAGCAGGUCUUGGGCAAGAAUUAUUUUGAGUAACCAGAUUCCGCCUUGUCCCCUGCGUGUGCAGAUGCGCUGUGUGCCCUGCAUGGCUGUGGGAGUUGGUGCCAGGGGCAGACAUAUUCUCACAGUGACUGGUUCUUAUUUAUGAUGCCAAUGAACCAUGUGUUUUCAGGUGCUUUAAAACGGUGCAGUGUAAAAAGUGUGCUUUUGUUUUCUUUUUUCUUUUCUUUCUGGCAUUUGAGCUUGUUUUCGCUCUGAGGGUCCAUAUGCAUUUGUCAUAGUGCUCUGCCAAGUGGCUCUUUGCUGUCAGGUUUU
rnacentral:lncRNA from 1 species